GACGUAGGAUGCAAGCGUUGUCCGGAUUUAUUGGGCGUAAAGAGUUCGUAGGUGGUUUGUUAAGUCUGAUGUUAAAGACUGGGGCUCAACCUCGGAAAUGCAUUGGAUACUGGCAGACUUGAGUGUGGUAGAGGCAAUCGGAAUUCCAGGUGUAGCGGUGAAAUGCGUAGAUAUCUGGAAGAACACCGGUGGCGCAAGCGGAUUGCUGGGCCAUAACUGACACUGAGGAACGAAAGCUAGGGGAGCGAAAGGG
rnacentral:rRNA from 1 species